GACAUCGUGGCCCGUUUUCUGCCGGGGCGUUCCUGGUGACCGGAAGACAAAGAAAACUUCUCGAUCUUUCUGGAGUUGGAACAACCGGUCACAGAUUGACGUCACUGGAGAUUCCCCUCUUUCUAUAUAAAUACGAGUGAAGCAUUUCUGCUUCAUCGCAGAAACCUGUCCCGAAUCGAACAUGAACUUCCGAAAGACGCAGGUGUUUUUCUUCCUUGUCCUGUGCAUUGCCGCACUGCAGACGAUUUUAGCAGCCAAUACGAAAAGCCCCCAUCCCAAAGUACCCCAGGCUAAGAUGCUCCGUGCCCAUAUGAGUGAGGGCGCUCAGCCCCGAUUCCAAGAUUUACCACUCCUAUAUGCCAUGGGGCUCCAGAGGCAGUAAUGGAGCACUUAUCGAACUCUCCUCUAAUGUUCUUAAGCGGGGACGGCAGCUGGUUUGUCCCUCCCCUUCAUCAGCAUCCUUUUAUCCAAAGAUUCUUAUCGUGAAUGUUUCAAGUUUAUUGUUACUGUAAAUAAAAUUUCUGGAUUUCUAA